rnacentral:rRNA from 1 species
CUACGGGUCGCUGCAGUGGGGAAUAUUGGACAAUGGGGGAAACCCUGAUCCAGCAAUGCCGCGUGUGUGAAGAAGGCCUGCGGGUUGUAAAGCACUUUCGGUUGGGAGGACUGCUUCUAGCACUAAUAUUGUUGGAAGUUGACGUUACCUUCAGAAGAAGCACCGGCUAACUCCGUGCCAGCAGCCGCGGUAAUACGGAGGGUGCAAGCGUGAAUCGGAAUUACUGGGCGUAAAGCGCGCGUAGGCGGCUAGAUCAGUCGGGUGUGAAAGCCCCGGGCUUAACCUGGGAACUGCAUCCGAUACUGUCUAGCUUGAGUACAGGAGAGGAGAGUGGAAUUCCACAUGUAGCGGUGAAAUGCGUAGAUAUGUGGAAGAACACCAAUGGCGAAGGCAGCUCUCUGGCCUGAUACUGACGCUGAGGUGCGAAAGCGUGGGGGGCAAACAGGAUUAGAUACCCUUGUAGUC